rnacentral:lncRNA from 1 species
CUACAAAAUUUCAACAAAAGAACAAUAAAUAACUUGAUCUUAAAAUACUUAACAAUGUAAUGAUAUUAACAAAUAAAUACUUAAAAUUAGUCCCCGGCAGCGGCGCCAAAAACUUGUUAGCGAUUUUACAACUUAUACGCAAGUGCACGUAUCGUUACAAGUAGUAUAUUUAUUCGUUCCCACAGAGACUAAAAAUAAGUUGUUAAGUACCAUACACCAUUGUUCUCCUAAUUCAAGUUAAAGUACACAUUGGCUUAAAAAGUUAAAAUAAUUAACACUAGAGAACUAACUAACACAACUUCAAUGACAAGAUUAACAAGAUAGGCCUAAAACUUCAUCUUUUGAUAUCAACAAGUAUCUCAUCAUACAUCAAUUCUCAUGGUCUAAUCUAAUUACUAAUCUAAGGCUAACAAGUAUUCAUAAGGACCUUCCGAAUCUCAAAUGACUCUUAUUUAUGAAUUAACCCCCAUAUCCCUAUGUAGAAUUUAAACUCAUAAAUAGCAUUAAACAUCACCUUAAUCGACUACCCAAGGUGCUUAGGUACAUUCCUGUCCCAACCACAAAUCAAUAUAAAAAUUUAAUCUUAGGCUAUGUUGAUUGAGUCCAAACUUAAGAUUUCUCUCCCAAGUCCUCUUAAGUUACUAGUUCAAUCUCAAAGGUGAUCAAUCCUUGAGAAGCAAUACACACAAAUCAACAUAAGCAAUCAAUAUGACCACAAGAAUAGAGAAAUGAAGAAACAACUUAUAUAUAAUCAAAAGAAUCCAUUAAAGGCCUAUAAGAGAAAUUAGUUCAACAUCACACUACUAAGAACUAAACACAAGUAUAAAGACAUCAAAUCCAUGUUACAAUUAAGAAAGGUAAAGAAGAGAAGAAAAACUCUAUAUUUGUCUCUUCCAAUUGCUUUCUUCCUCCUUGCUCUCUUGCGUGCAACUUCUUCCUGUAUGUCUCUCCCUGUGUCUCUUGGCUAAUUUUUGUAACUUCUCUCAUGUGAUGUUUUUGUGUCUCUUGGCUAAUUUUUGUAAUUUCUCUCCUGUGAUGUUUUUGUGUCUCUUGGCCCAUGUAACUCCCAAGCCCAUUAGAAAACAAAACAAUAACUGAUCUAUUUUACCUAUACUAUAUUUUGAAUAAAAUAAAUACUACAAAUAAGUUUCUCAAAUAGAAUAGGAGUUCAAAGUAGAAAAUUCGGACUUUCUGCUUCUGGCCAUAUUCUGGGCUGAUUGGAAUUUCAAUAAAUUCUCAAACCUUACUUGAAUUAAA